rfam:Nitrobacter hamburgensis X14, complete genome.
GCCCAAUUUCGCACGUGCCUGUGGUCGUGUGUCAGUCGGUGGGUAUCCGGACAAGAGGCCGGACAGCCGCCAAGGGUGAAGCAGCCGAGGGUCGCUCAGGUCGGUCGGAUCGAUCGGAACUGAGAGGCCAGCAUCUCUCUCCAGGGAUGCCGUUGAAGGCACUUCGCUCCUUGCAACCGUGACUGGCAGCCGGAGGCGAACCGGCGCACCCCGCUCUCAACGGGGGACGCGACUUAAAGCAACGACGGAUCGGGCUUUU